AAUCCAUAGGUUAAUGAGGCGAACCGGGGGAACUGAAACAUCUAAGUACCCCGAGGAAAAGAAAUCAACCGAGAUUCCCCCAGUAGCGGCGAGCGAACGGGGAGGAGCCCAGAGCCUGAAUCAGCAUGUGUGUUAGUGGAAGCGUCUGGAAAGGCGCGCGAUACAGGGUGACAGCCCCGUACACAAAAGCGCAUGUGCUGUGAGCUCGAUGAGUAGGGCGGGACACGUGGUAUCCUGUCUGAAUAUGGGGGGACCAUCCUCCAAGGCUAAAUACUCCUGACUGACCGAUAGUGAACCAGUACCGUGAGGGAAAGGCGAAAAGAACCCCGGCGAGGGGAGUGAAAAAGAACCUGAAACCGUGUACGUACAAGCAGUGGGAGCCCCACCACCAAAGC
rnacentral:rRNA from 2 species